UCAAGAAUGCCCAUUAUAACAAAUUGCAUAAUUUAAAAAUCCCAUCUUAACAGCAAGCGGUUCUUAUUUCAUUAAAUGUUUCACUGAUGAAAUAUGAAUGAUUCUAGUGAAAAUUGUACUUAUUACAUAAUGUUAUCAGCUUCAGCAAGUGAAAUUCUUGAGUGAAACUUAUUAUGACUUUUCCUUAUAAUACAAAUAAACAAAGAGUUGCACAAUUCGACAUAGGAAGACGAGCGCUAUCUGCUCUUGCUAUAAAAAGCCCAAGAGCGCAAGAUUCUCCGCAAUUGCAUGCACGGUCACAGAAAUUAUUACUUGUAUGACAUAUGAAAAAAACCUUGAUGAUUGCACCCAUUUAUACCGUAUCAGCAAAUUUUACAUCUAUUUAAGUACUAUUAUUUCAAGUUCCAGUGAAAUUAAACGCGAUAUGAACUGGGAUUUCAUUAAAAAGACGUUUUUUCUACAUAUUAAUUCUUUUCCUUCAUUAACUAGCCUAAGGCUAUAGAGGAAGUCAUGCUAAAAAAUAAUCAAGGUUCUCAUAUUUCACCGACAUUUGUUAUUCAUGCAUCAGUCAUCACCGCCAUUAACGAAGAUUGCAUAUUUGAGAACUAUAGUCUGCUUAAGAAGAGACCGAGACAGGCGAGACUGGCGAAAGAACACCAGAUGUACAGGCUAGUACAUGCACGGAAGAAUAAACUGGGUAGAAAUCACAGAAUAGAUUGAUUUUUUUUAGUUUCAUGAUUAAGUUCAGGUAAGUGAUGGUUCACGUUGUGCCUAAAGCACACUAUAAUUACACGCGUCAUAUAUAUAUUAAUUACUAUUCUAAUAUUUUAAAUGACUGUGAUGCAUGCAAUUUUAUCGAAUGAGAUAACUUCCAAGACAAACAGAAUAAAAACAAAGACUCUUAAUAGUCAACCAUAGCAGCAUGCAUACAUGAAAUUGUCUGCUUCCAGCGACGUGAACAAUAUUGUAGGAAACAUUAUCGCUGUAAAAACUCUGGUUACAUCUGUUUGACGGUUUCACCUUGUAUAGGAACUAUAAGAAAGUUACACUAGAGCAGGAAUGGAGGGGUUUAAGAAGAUGAGUUACUGACUCUCGAAGUCUAGAAGAAUAAAAGACUCGACUUAUUGGGUUGCAGAGAUCCCGCUGUUUCAGGCUAAAUUUCUUCAACUUUAUCUCAGAAUUUCGUUCAUCGAACUAGAGUUGCAACAAAUUAAUCCAUCUCAACCGUUGUCCCGUGAGUGUGCCAUGUCUUCGAAUGUAACAAACGUCACAAGAUCACAAAAAUAUUUCACAAUGGCUUGGUUCCGUUUACCAAUAGAGGAAGGCGAUACCAUUCCAGCUGUUGAAGUCUUGAACGACAUAUUGAUCAUAACGGGCAUAAUAUUGAAUAUUGUACUGCUGUGGAUGAUAUGGAAAAAUCCAGAAAAGAAACCACGAAAUAGCAGAGCGCUGUUGUUGGCCAAUCUUUGCAUCGUAAAUCUCGUAGUUACGAUUUUUGGAGUUAUCUGCAGCAUCGAAACCAAACUCCAAUCCGAUCGGAUCU